UGCGGGAUCGUCUAACGGUAGGACUCCAGGUUCUGGUCCUGGCUAUCUAGGUUCGAAUCCUGGUCCCGCAGCCA
rnacentral:tRNA from 1 species